rnacentral:rRNA from 1 species
AUUGAACGCUGGCGGAAUGCUUUACACAUGCAAGUCGAACGGCAGCACGGACUUCGGUCUGGUGGCGAGUGGCGAACGGGUGAGUAAUGUAUCGGAACGUGCCCAGUCGUGGGGGAUAACGUAGUGAAAAUUACGCUAAUACCGCAUACGAUCUAUGGAUGAAAGCGGGGGAUCGCAAGACCUCGCGUGCUUGGAGCGGCCGAUAUCAGAUUAGGUAGUUUGUGGGGUAAAGGCCCACCAAGCCAACGAUCCGUAGCUGGUCUGAGAGGACGACCAGCCACACUGGAACUGAGACACGGUCCAGACUCCUACGGGAGGCAGCAGUGGGGAAUUUUGGACAAUGGGCGAAAGCCUGAUCCAGCCAUUCCGCGUGCAGGAUGAAGGCCCUCGGGUUGUAAACUGCUUUUGUACAGAACGAAAAGGUUUCUACUAAUACUAGGAGCUCAUGACGGUACUGUAAGAAUAAGCACCGGCUAACUACGUGCCAGCAGCCGCGGUAA